AAGGAUAGAGGGAGAGGGAGAGAGAGGCUCGUACUGAAGCCAACCAGCUGCGCUUCUGAGUGGGAAACUCUGGACUGAUCUCAUGGCUCGCUCUUUAUUUCAUUAAUACUUCAUUAUCUCUGAAAAUGAACCUUUUUUGAAGCUCUUCUAACUCUCCUUCCUCCUCUUUCACGAGGUGGCUGCUGUGCAAGGGAAGAAAUGGCAUGAAGUAAAUGACUCCCAUAUAAAGCAAUCUGCUUUGCCAAAGUGCCCGGGGAGCAGCACUGUCACUUUAAUAAUUCCAGGUCAAGGGAUUGCUUUCCUCGUUUUCAAUCCUCUCUUUUAAUACAUGGGAGGAUCAGAGGGACAUUAAUGAUCGUAAGGCUGGGUGGCUCGCAGAUAAUAAAAAUGAAAGUGACUGGCCAGUGACUUCUGUUGGGUAAGAGGGCGAUGUUUGAAGGCUGUGUUGUCUGGUGAGGAAAAAGGGACCUUUUCAGUCUGCUGUGUAGUCACCUAAUACGUAGCUAGCAAAAUUCAUUCAAGAAGUGAAAGAAGUUUAAAGAGUCACUUUGGAUUGUUUUUGUCUUCCUCCUUGUUUGGAUUAUUUGGGAGUUUUUGUCCAGCCAAAAAUAUAUUUUUGAGCAUGUAUAGGUGGAGUAUUAAGACAGCUGCCUAGAGAUGGACUGUGCCUUAAUUGUAUUACAUAAAAUCUUUUAAUUUUCAAACUUUUCUGCCAGAAGAGGAGUUAUAAUAAGGUUUUAUAUUGCCAAGGAACAUUCUCUCUUGUAUUUUUAUAGAUUCAAAUAUAUUUUAAAGAAAUUGAAAACAUCUCUUAAAAAAUCAAAAAUCUUUUUUCCUUUUUUUUUUUUCUUCUUAUUUCUGGGAAGCAUCAGAAAUCCAAUACAAGAAAACUGCAAGUAUUGAUAGAAAUGAAGAUUGAAGCUGCAUUUCCUAACUGAACUGUAAAAGUGUUUUGCAAUAGAUAGCCAGUUCCUGACCUGCAAAGUGUUCCAGUAGUGCGUCGUUAAUACCCGUAAAAAAGUGCUUGCAACCAGAUUCAGAAAUAGGAAGAAGAAUGCCAGUCAAGAAGAAAGGUGGGCUAUGAAGCUUCAUAUCUCAUAUUGUGUCCUCAUUUUGUUAGAUUGUUGAUUUCUAGUACUUACAAUUUCAAAUUAAAAGUGUUUUAAUAGGGGAUUGAAAUUGUUUUUCUUUUGCGCUGAAAAUGGGAGAAAAAUCUGUGCACUUACAAUAAUA